rnacentral:rRNA from 1 species
UACGUAGGGUGCAAGCGUUAUCCGGAAUUAUUGGGCGUAAAGAGCUCGUAGGCGGUUUGUCGCGUUCGUGCUGUGAAAACUGGAGGCUCAACCUCCAGCCUGCAGUGGGUACGGGCAGACUAGAGUGGCGGUAGGGGAGAUUGGAAUUCCUGGUGUAGCGGUGGAAUGCGCAGAUAUCAGGAGGAACACCGAUGGCGAAGGCAGAUCUCUGGGCCGUAACUGACGCUGAGGAGCGAAAGCAUGGGGAGCGAACAGG